rfam:Camelus ferus unplaced genomic scaffold scaffold1061, whole genome shotgun sequence.
GAGGGUAUAUCUCAGUGGUAGAGUGCAUGCUUAGCAUGCACCAGAUCCUGGGUUCAAUUGCCAGUACCGUCA